UGUGUAAUAGGGAGUGGUGAUCAGAGGAGCUCAGUGACAAAGACCCAGCUAGCAGCUAUCAAAUACUGCAUCAAGAGCAGAUCAAGAUUGGGAGAGGAUGGUGUGAUUAAUAAUCAGUGCCUGCCGCUAUGUGGCCAGGAAAAUAGGAGCAGCUGUUGGGCGUGAAGAUGAUGGCGAGAAGAAAGAUGGAGGUUGUGGAGCCACCAAGGGCUCCAUGAAGUCUUCUUGUGCUCUUCGUACAGGUGGGAAAAGGAAAGAUGCUACGGUGCGACCUCCGCCCUCGGACCCUUCCACUCCCCUGACUUCUCAGCCUACUGAAGGUUCGCCACCUACCUCAGCUCUGCAACCAUGUGAGCCUUCGCCUUACUGAAUAGGAAAGUGCCCCAUAGCAGGAGAAUGACCCUCCUCUCAGCAGUCUCUGGAUUGAGAGGGGGCGAGGAAUAUACCUGCUGUGUUCUUAAUAAACAUAUGAACCAUUA